rnacentral:tRNA from 1 species
UCUUAGCUCAGCUGGUUAGAGCACCUGACUCAUAAUCAGGUGGUCGCUGGUUCAAGCCCAGCAGG